AACGAACGCUGGUGGCGUGCUUAACACAUGCAAGUCGAACGAGAAAAAUUCCUUCGGGGAUUUAGUAAAGUGGCGCAAGGGUGAGUAACACGUGAAUAAUCUGCCCUCGAGAUCGGGAUAACAUGGUGAAAACUAUGCUAAUACCGGAUAAGACCACAUCUCAUAAGAGAUGCGGGAAAAGGAGUCUCAAUCUUCACUCGAGGAUGAGUUCGCGCAACAUUAGCUUGUUGGUGAGAUAAAAGCUCACCAAGGCUACGAUGUUUAGCCGGCCUGAGAGGGUGAACGGCCACACUGGAACUGAGACACGGUCCAGACUCCUACGGGAGGCAGCAGUGGGGAAUAUUGCGCAAUGGGCGAAAGCCUGACGCAGCAACGCCGUGUGAGCGAUG
rnacentral:rRNA from 1 species